UCCUUAGAUGUUCUGGGCCGCACGCGCGCUACACUGACUACUUCAACGAGUUGUUUCCUUGAUCGAAAGGUCUGGGUAAUCUUUGAAAGGUAGUCGUGAUGGGGAUAGAUCCUUGCAAUUUUUGAUCUUCAACGAGGAAUUCCUAGUAAACGCAAGUCAUCAGCUUGCAUUGAUUACGUCCCUGCCCUUUGUACACACCGCCCGUCGCACCUACCGAUUGAAUGGUCCGGUGAAUCUUUAGGACUGUGGCUGAGGCCUUGCCUUGUGCGGGUCUGGCCGUGGGAAUUUAGUUAAACCUUACCAUUUAGAGGAAGGUGAAGUCGUAACA
rnacentral:rRNA from 1 species